ACGGUGAAUACGUUCCCGGGCCUUGUACACACCGCCCGUCACACCAUGGGAGUGGGUUGCAAAAGAAGUAGGUAGCUUAACCUUCGGGAGGGCGCUUACCACUUUGUGAUUCAUGACUGGGGUGAAGUCGUAACAAGGUAACCGUAGGGGAACCUGCGGUUGGAUCACCUCCUUACUUUAAAGAAGC
rnacentral:rRNA from 1 species